GUCACUUUGGCCGAGUGGUUAAGGCGAUCGCCUGCUAAGCGGUUGUGCUCUGCACGCGCAGGUUCGAAUCCUGCAGGUGACG